CCACAGGCUGAUCGUCGGGGCCCCGCUGCAGACGGGAGACGUGAAUGAAACCGGCAAAGUCUACAAGUGCGACCCGGGCUCCAGACGCUGCCAGGAGAUCCCCAUCCAGAGCCCCCCCGAUGCCGUGAACAUGUCCCUCGGAUUGUCUCUGGCUGCCCGGGGCUCCAAUCUUCUGGUGUGCGGCCCCACAGUGCACCGGGUCUGUGGGGAGAACAUGUACAUCAACAGCUACUGCUUUCUCCUGGACCAGAGCCUCCAGCAGAGCCAGCGCAUCCCGGACACCCUGGCAG